rnacentral:rRNA from 1 species
UACGGAGGUUGCAAGCGUUAUCCGGAAUCACUGGGUUUAAAGGGUGCGUAGGCGGUGGUGUAAGUCAGUUGUGAAAUGCCCCGGCUUAACCGGCGGAACUGCGAUUGAUACUGCAUCACUUGAAUCAGGAUGAGGUAGGCGGAAUGUGGCAUGUAGCGGUGAGAUGCUUAGAUAUGCCAUAGAACACCGAUUGCGAAGGUAGCUUGCUGGGCCUGAAUUGACGCUGAGGCACGAAAGCGUGGGGAGCAAACAGG